CGGCUUUAGUGACUUUGUCAUUAGCCAGCCUUGGACCCAUGCUCCGAACCCACCAGAUGCUGCGUGGAGACUCCACGUGAUGGAUGAAGAAGCCCAGAUGGAGAGAGUGUUCCAGUUGGGCCCAGGCCUGGCUGACUUGCCCUCCGGAAGCAUCUGCGUGAGUGACCUCAGGCAAGACCAAUGGAAGAGCCAACCAGCUAAUCCACAGAAUUCUCCAUUAAAGAGAAGGGAAAAGAAGGUGUGGCUCUACAAAGAGAAAGAAAGAAGAGGCAAUGGCAGUUUUCUGAAGCCAGAACUCAGAGAGAAAAGUGGUAAGUGACCCGGCCAACCAGAGAGAGAGGGCAUGGGAACCUGAGUAGAAUCCUUGAAACAGAUGAAUCAACAUGAAAACCCUGAGGAUUUGAAAUGUCAGGUACCUAUAAAUGUGUAGCUAUUGGAAAGCCCAAGACAAAGAGAAUCAUUGAAGCAGCUGGCUUCCUAGAUGCCCUCCUGGCCCCACAUAUCCAGUUGACUUCCCAGGUAUUAGUAUAACGCUGGAGAUUUAUUCUUGGGGAAGGAUGAACCAAAAGGUCUCUGAACGGGGCACACCAAGUUCAAGUUCAAAGUGUGAAUGCUGUACUGCAGACAGAGGAUUGAGUAUUACCUGUCAAAGGGUGAAAAUGCUAGAACUUUUUUUUUUUUUUUUUGGCAAAAAAGACUUGUAACUCUUAGUUAAUUUUCUCUGGUUCCUGGGACAUUGAUAUCUAUAGAUAUUAUUAGUUGAUGAUUCCACCCAUGGGAAGGCAGCUUCUCUCCCCUUCCCACCCCCCCGCCCCUUGCCAUCACACAUACAGCUGAGUUCAUGGUAGCUUGUCCCUUUGAGUAUGAAUGAGUAGGAAAUAAAUAAAAGACAAGGGAAUUAUCCAGCAUGAAAGACAGAGGUCCAAACAAACAAACAAACAAACAAAAUAAAGAUGCUUGUAGGAAACAGAGACAAGUGUAGGGAGAAGAAGAAAAUUCAAACAAUUAACUGUAAUUAAUAUUCCUGGAAAAUAAGUCAAGAAUAACAUUUGGGAAACAAAACAAAAUAUAUAUAAAAAUAGAACAUUUAGAAAAGUAAAGCAACUUUGCAAAUGCAAAAUAAGCAGAAAUUAUGAGGCAUAGUCUCUAAAGAUAGUUAAUAUCCACAAAAGGAGAGAUCUCUACUCCUAUGCCCAAAGAAAUGAAAAAAAAAAAAAAAACCCAGUUGUGUCUUAACAAGGAAAUUCAAAUGAAAUUGAGAAUACUAAAAAUGAAUGGCAACCUUGUGGGAUUGACUAUAACAAUCUUCAGAGGAAAACUUAUGCCUUAAAUGCAUUUUUAUUUAGAUGUGUUUACCGAAUCUACUUUAUUUUUUCUUCUUGGCUCGCAGCUAAACUACAUUGCCCAGCUUCCUCUGCAGUUAGGUGGAACCAUGUGACUAAGUCCUGGCCAGGGGAGUAUGGGAAGAAGUAAUGAUGCUCCUUUCAGGCCUGACCUCUGAAACAGCCUGUUCGCCAAAACCUCCUUACUCAUUCUUUCUCUCACCCUGUUCUCAUUAGUUGCCAGAUGGAGGGAUUCAAGGCAAGUAACGAGUGCCAGUAAAUAUUACCCUUGCUUCUGUUGCUGUUCAGGCCAUUUCCGCUUUCCACGUGGUGAUGGUGGUGUGUGCGUGGUGGGGGAGGGGGAGUGCAUCAUUUAUCCCUGGUUCUUCCGCGCUCUUAGUUCCAGACUGACAGGAUACCUGGUAGUAUAUCACAAAGGGAAAAGCAUAUUUGAAGUUCUUAACUCAGGGGUGCAGUAGCUUGGAGAGGUUUUUUUUUUUUGUCACAAACUGAAAUGCCCCGUGGGUGCGUGUGCGAUUCUUUUUGAGAGUCUGAAGCAAUUUAUUCAUGUAUUCAUUUAUCCGUUCAUUUACAUGUUGGGCAUACUUUUUAAGUAUCUACCUAUCUAAUGUACUAUACUGGGCAUGGAGACAGACAGGUUUCAUGCCUGAAUAAGAGAGACAACUAAAUGAGUACCUAAGGGGCGCCUGGGUGGCUUAGUGGGUUGAGCGCCUGACUCUUGAUUUCCGCUCAGGUCAUGAUCCCAGGGAUCGAACCCUGCAUCUGGCUCUGAGCUGAGUGUGGGGUCUGCUGAAGAUUCUCCCUCCUCCCCCCCCCCCC